rnacentral:rRNA from 1 species
GAUGAGCCCGCGGCCUAUCAGCUUGUUGGUGAGGUAAUGGCUCACCAAGGCGACGACGGGUAGCCGGCCUGAGAGGGCGACCGGCCACACUGGGACUGAGACACGGCCCAGACUCCUACGGGAGGCAGCAGUGGGGAAUAUUGCACAAUGGGCGAAAGCCUGAUGCAGCGACGCCGCGUGAGGGAUGACGGCCUUCGGGUUGUAAACCUCUUUCAGCAGGGAAGAAGC